rnacentral:tRNA from 1 species
GCCGCGUUCGUCUAACGGUCAGGACAUUAGGUUCUCAACUUAAUAACAAGGGUCCGACUCCCUUACGCGGUA